GAUGAACGCUGGCGGUGUGCCUAAUACAUGCAACUCGAGCGCACAGAUAAGGAGCUUUCUCCUUCGACGUUAGCGGCGGCCGGGUGCGUAAGACGUGGGUACCCUACCUAUAAGAACGGGAUAACUUCGGGUAACCGGUGCUAAUACCGGCUAAUAUUUGGAACCGCACGGUUCUACAGUGACAGAUGGUUUUGCUAUCACUUCUAGAUGGACCCGCGCCGCAUUCGCUAGUUGGUAAGGUAACGGCUUACCAAGGCGGCGAUACGUAGCCGACCUGAGAGGGUGGUCGGCCACACUGGAACUGAGACACGGUCCAGACUCCUACGGGAGGCAGCAGUGGGGAAUCUUCCGCAACGGGCGAAAGCCUGACGGAGCAACGCCGCGUGAGUGAUGAAGGGUUUCGGCUCGUAAAACUCUGUUAUUAGCGAAGAACGAACGUAAAAGUAGCUGAGCGCGUCGUGACGGUACCUGAUCGGAAAGCCACGGCUAACGACGUG
rnacentral:rRNA from 1 species